UAAAUAAAUAAAUAAAUAAAUAAAAAUCAGAAUGAUACAGAGAAGAUUAGCAUGGCCCUUGAGCAAGGAUGACAUGGGAAUUUGUGUAGUGUUCCGUAUUUUU
rfam:Otolemur garnettii contig106794, whole genome shotgun sequence.